rnacentral:rRNA from 1 species
GUCGAGCGGAUGAGAGGAGCUUGCUCCUCGAUUCAGCGGCGGACGGGUGAGUAAUGCCUAGGAAUCUGCCUAGUAGUGGGGGACAACGUUUCGAAAGGAACGCUAAUACCGCAUACGUCCUACGGGAGAAAGUGGGGGAUCUUCGGACCUCACGCUAUUAGAUGAGCCUAGGUCGGAUUAGCUAGUUGGUAGGGUAAAGGCCUACCAAGGCGACGAUCCGUAACUGGUCUGAGAGGAUGAUCAGUCACACUGGAACUGAGACACGGUCCAGACUCCUACGGGAGGCAGCAGUGGGGAAUAUUGGACAAUGGGCGAAAGCCUGAUCCAGCCAUGCCGCGUGUGUGAAGAAGGCCUUCGGGUCGUAAAGCACUUUAAGUUGGGAGGAAGGGCUCAUAGCGAAUACCUGUGAGUUUUGACGUUACCAACAGAAUAAGCACCGGCUAACUUCGUGCCAGCAGCCGCGGUAAUACGAAGGGUGCAAGCGUUAAUCGGAAUUACUGGGCGUAAAGCGCGCGUAGGUGGCUUGAUAAGUUGGAUGUGAAAUCCCCGGGCUCAACCUGGGAACUGCAUCCAAAACUGUCUGGCUAGAGUGCGGUAGAGGGUAGUGGAAUUUCCAGUGUAGCGGUGAAAUGCGUAGAUAUUGGAAGGAACACCAGUGGCGAANNCGACUACCUGGACUGACACUGACACUGAGGUGCGANNG